GAUGAACGCUGGCGGCAUGCCUAAUACAUGCAAGUCGAACGAGAGGAAGGAAAGCUUGCUUUUCUGAAUCUAGUGGCGAACGGGUGAGUAACACGUAGGUAACCUGCCUAUGUGCCCGGGAUAACUUCUGGAAACGGAUGCUAAAACCGGAUAGGUAGCAGACAAACAUUUGACUGCUAUUAAAGUGGCUAAGGCCAGGAACAUGGAUGGACCUGCGGUGCAUUCGCUAGUUGGCGAGGUAACGGACCACCAAGGCGACGAUGCAUAGCCGGCAUGAGAGGGCGGGCGGCCAGAUUGGGACUGAGACACGGCCCAAACGCCUACGGGAGGCAGCAGUAGGGAAUUUUCGUCAAUGGGGGGAACCCUGAACGAGCAAUGCCGCGUGAGUGAGGAAGGUCUUCGGAUCGUAAAGCUCUGUUGUAAGGGAAAAACGACAUUCAUAGGGAAUGAAGAGUGAGUGAUGGUAUCUUACCAGAAAGUCACGGCUAACUACGUGCCAGCAGCCGCAGUAACAC
rnacentral:rRNA from 1 species